rnacentral:rRNA from 1 species
UUUUUGAUUAAUAAUUUAAAGUCUAAUCUGCCCACUGAUAUUAUAUUAAAGGGCUGCAGUAUUUUGACUGUACAAAGGUAGCAUAAUCAUUAGUCUCUUAAUUGGUGACUUGUAUGAAAGAUUUGAUGAAAUAUAUACUGUCUCUUCUUAAUUUGUAAAAUUUAAUUUUUUAGUUAAAAAGCUAGAAUAUAUUUAAAAGACGAGAAGACCCUAUAGAGUUUUAUAUUUAUAUAAAUUAUAAUUUUUUAUAAGAUUUAAAAUUUUAAUAUAUUUAAAUAUUGUGUUGGGGUGAUAAAAAAAUUUAAAUAACUUUUUUUAUAAAUUAACAUUUAUAAAUGAAUAAAUGAUCCGUAAUUUACGAUUAUAAGAAAAAAUUACCUUAGGGAUAACAGCGUAAUUUUUUUUUUUAGUUCAAAUAAGAAUAAAAGUUUGCGACCUCGAUGUUGGAUUAAGAUAAAAUUUAAAUGCAAAAGUUUAAAAUUUUUGAUCUGUUCGAUCAUUAAAAUCUUACA